rnacentral:tRNA from 1 species
CAUCAGAUGACUGAAGUGUAAGUAAUGGUCUCUUAAACCAAUUUAUAGUAAAAACAAUUACUUCUGAUGA